rnacentral:misc_RNA from 1 species
UCCGGUUUGUCACCUGCAGUCUCAUUAGAGUGCCCAACUGAAUGUAGCAACUAAUGACAAGGGUUGCGCUCGUUGCGGGACUUAACCCAACAUCUCACGACACGAGCUGACGACAGCCAUGCAGCACCUCGACUCCAGUCUCUUGCGAGAAGUCCCUGUUUCCAAGGAUUGUCCGAAGCCGUUCGAGCCCAGGUAAGGUUCUUCGCGUUGCGUCGAAUUGAACCACAUCAUCCACCGCUUGUGCGGGUCCCCGUCAAUUCCUUUGAGUUUUAAUCUUGCGACCGUACUCCCCAGGCGAUCUACUUCACGUGUUAGCUGCGUUACCAAAUCAAUUAAGAUCCGACAACUAGUAGACAUCGUUUAGGGCGUGGACUAC